AGUACAUAAUGACAUGAUUCAUUACUAGAUGAUAAGUAGGGUUCAUUCUCCUUGGUCAAUGUGCUAAGAUGAAAUAGGUCUAUCAAAGGAGAAUGGAGGGAGCAGUAACAUGCAUGUCGCGUAUAGUCAAUCUAAUAAUAGCCCACCCAUAUAACAAUUGGCUACUAAUGUAUACUACACCACUAAUAAAUGGCCCACAGUCUCAU
rnacentral:lncRNA from 1 species